rnacentral:rRNA from 1 species
AUGGACGCGAACCACAUGAUCAGGUCCAAGAGAAUCAACCCGGAUUCCCUCGCUGAUGGCGGCGGCAGCAGCGCGAGCAGGAACCCAGCGGCGCCGGCGCCAGCCCCCAAACCGAGCAAGGACGAGCGCGCCCCGGACGUCGUCGCUGACACCUCACGCCUCGCGCCCUACUUCCCCCGCACCUCGCUCGAGAAUCGUCCGGCGUCCUCAUCCGCUGCCCUCCUGAGCCACCAUCGCUACAACGUCGCCGUGGACACGUCCCACUCCCAGGGACCCAACCUCGGCAGUGGCGGUGGCAGCGGCAUCGCCUUGUCGGACUGUCCCUUGCCGCUCCAGUGGUGGGGCCACGGGAAGCGCUCGCGCAGCCGUCGCGAGGCGCCGGUGCCCGAACCCGAGCUGACGCGCGCCGAGGUGCGCCGUCGGAAAUCCCUCAAGUACAGGAGCCGCAAGGCGGCGAAGGCGCAGGCGCGAGCAGCGAUGGCGCCGCCGGGCAGCCCUGGUCCCAACCUCAGCGCGGCCCCGUCGCCUCCUCCUCGCGCCGGCACCCUCUGGCUCCACGGGUACCCGAGAAUCAACUCGGAUUCCCUCCCUCUCGCUGAUGGCGGCAGUGGCAGCGUGAUCCUUAGGCCAGUGGCACCGACGCCGGGCCCCACACAGAGCAAGGUCGAGCGCACCCUGCUCGUCGUCGCUGACACCUCAUGCCUCAUGCCGUACUUUGGCCGCACCUCGCUGGAGCACCACAUGAUACGAGGGCGCCCGACAUCCUCAACCGCUGACCAUCUCUACAACGUCGGCAUGAACACAUACCAGGGACCCAACGUUGGUGGCGGCAGUGGCGGCGACAUCGUGCACACCCCGCUUGACCAGCACAGGUUGUGGGGUCACGCUCCGCACGUGCCCCAACCAGCGUACUCAUCGAUUGUCCCCGUGAGCCACUAUCUCUUGAACCACGCCAUGCACACCUCCCAGGGAUCCAACGUCAGUGGCGGUGGCGGCAACGGCAUCACCUCACCGAAUGCCCAUGUGCCGCUUCAAUGGGGCCAAAGGAAGCGCCCGCGUAGCCGCCGCGAGGCACCUGCACCCACUCCCGCGCCUAAACCGGAGUUGACCCCCGCCAAGGCGCAGGCGCAGGCGGUGACGUCGAUUGUGUCGUCGGGCGCCCGCGAGCCCAACCUCAUCUCCGACCUAUCGCUCCCUCCUCGCAAUGUCACCCUCUCUCUCCGCUGCUCUGCGGAGGAGCUUCACAACACCGUUGGCGAGCAACAACCAACGUUGAAGGAGGAGAAGGUGACGCCGCCGCCGAGCGCCCUUGGUCCCAUCCUCUCGACCAUCUCUCCUCAUGCUGCCACCCUCUCGCACCACAGUUCUUCGGAGGAACCUCACACCGCCGCCGGCGAGAAGCAGGCAGGGGCGAAGGAGGAGAAGCAGCAGCCAGCGGUGGAGGAGGAGAAGCAGCAGCCAGCGCCCAAAGUGGAGCCUAAGAAGCAGCAGCGUCAGGAGUCGAUCAAGGCGACAGCGGAGCAGAAAGGGAAGGCGCCCAUGGUGGAGGUGCCGCCACACGUUGAGGAGGAGGAGGAGGAGAAGGCGGCCAUGGCGAGGCCGGUGGUGCCGCGGGUCGUCACGCAGCUGACGCACGAGGAGAAAGAGGAGGACUGGCUGGCCAUGACGGUCACCAGGCUGCCGCGGUUCCCCCACAGGCGCCCCGGGAUAGUCCAGAAGCAAGUCAACAACAUCUGCCCAGGGGAGUGGCUCUGGCAGGCCAACAGGACCAGGUACAAAGUCAAGGAAAAGAAGUCCGAGAAGCGCGUGGGCGGCCUGAAAGGCAUGUCGACGGAUGACGAGGACUCCGACUCCGACUGA